rnacentral:rRNA from 1 species
UGAGGGAUAUUGGGUCAAUGGGGGGAAACCCUGAACCAGCAACGCCGCGUGAGGGAUGACGGUCUUCGGAUUGUAAACCUCUGUCCCCUGUGAAGAUAAUGACGGUAGCAGAGGAGGAAGCUCCGGCUAACUACGUGCCAGCAGCCGCGGUAAUACGUAGGGAGCAAGCGUUGUCCGGAUUUACUGGGUGUAAAGGGUGCGUAGGCGGCUCGGCAAGUCAGAGGUGAAAUCCAUGGGCUUAACCCAUGAACUGCCUUUGAAACUGCCGAACUUGAGUGAAGUAGAGGUAGGCGGAAUUCCCGGUGUAGCGGUGAAAUGCGUAGAGAUCGGGAGGAACAC